UCGCCCUCCGCUGCGCAGAGCCAAUCGCUUCACGUAGCCGCCGCGAGCCCGCCCCCACCCCGUCCCCCGCGCCGCCGCCGCGGAGCAGCGGGGAUCACUGAUGCGCAUGCUCCAACAGGUCCUUCUCGUUCGCCCACGGCUCGCAGGCCGCACCCGGUGCCGGACCUGUCUUCAAGCCCGUCUUCCCGGGUACCCUGCGUGUGCCUCCGUGUACGGAGGCUGCCUCACUAAACUCUGAGACUAUGUCUUGGUGGUUAGCCCCCAGACUGAAAACAGCGAAAAGAGAAGUGCUCCAGUACACAUGUGAAUGUAAGUUCCAUGAGAGCAGAGACUGUAUCUUGUUUAUCUGCAUCUCCAGCUCCGAGCACAAGGAAUGCUCACACAUGACCUGUGGUCCAAACUCAUACCAGGAAGGUAUGAGCUCCAUUUGAUCCAUAAGGAAACAGAGGCUUAGAAAGCUUAAGUCAUCUGCCCAAGGUCACAGAGCUAGAAGUGGAGGAGCUGGGAUUCAAACCCGAGUCCUGCUUCAGCUUCAGCGAUGAAGAGUCAGUUAAAGAAUAAAUAGAAAGAAAGGAUAUGACAAGUGUGUAAGUACUCUCUAGUUUUUCAUCUUUAAAAAAUGUAGGUGUAAAUUUGUAAUUUUUUGGUUUUGCAUGGUAGAGGACUUCCCUUAAGCAGUAGAUGAAUGAGGAAGGAAAAAUUCAGAUUAAUUCAAAACAGGCAAAACAAUCCUGACAAACCAUUUUUUUAGUAAAAUACGGUAGUAAAAUUGACAACAAAACCCCCCAAACCACCACCAGUGCUGCUGAGAUUGUUGUAAAACUGGUUUCUGCCUCUUGGCAAGCCUGUAUUUUUAGUUCACACUAUGUGUUAGUUUCUAAUUAUUGUGUGAUGAGCUGAUAAAUGCCACCCUCCUGUACUAGACUGGAAGCGACAGGAGGGCAGGGUCUGUCUAUCUUGCUCAUCUUAUGCUCCUGGAGCUCAAUGCCUAGCGCCAGUAGAUACUCAAUUUGUAACUGUUGCAUAAAUGGAUAUUGUUGUUGCCAUGAUUAACUUUUUGGAAGAGAAUCAGGCAAUAUAUAGUAAGAGCUAUAAGAUAAAAUAUUAUUUAAC